rnacentral:tRNA from 1 species
AGGGAAUUUGAUUAAGUAGAUCAAAUAGUCUUCAAAACUAUUAGUGUUGGUUCGAAUCCAGCAUUCCUUG